rnacentral:rRNA from 1 species
UACGGGGGGGGUAAGCGUUGUUCGGAAUUACUGGGCGUAAAGGGCUCGUAGGCGGCCAACUAAGUCAUACGUGAAAUCCCUCAGAUUAACUGGGGAACUGCGUGUGAUACUGGAUGGCUUGGAUUUGGGAGAGGGAUGCGGAAUUCCAGGUGUAGCGGUGAAAUGCGUAGAUAUCUGGAGGAACACCGGUGGCGAAGGCGGCAUCCUGGACCAAUAUUGACGCUGAGGAGCGAAAGCCAGGGGAGCAAACGGG